rnacentral:rRNA from 1 species
AGAGUUUGAUCAUGGCUCAGAAUCAACGCUGGCGGCGUGCCUCAGACAUGCAAGUCGGACGAUGUUGACGGCCCUUCGGGGCUGUCAGCAGAGUGGCGCACGGGUGAGUAACACGUAGGUAAUCUGCCUUCGGGUGGGGAAUAACAGCCGGAAACGGCUGCUAAUACCGCAUAAUGCAGCGGCACCACAUGGUGACAGUUGUUAAAGCGGGGGAUCGCAAGACCUCGCGCCUGAAGAGGAGCCUGCGGCGGAUUAGGUAGUUGGUGAGGUAAUGGCUCACCAAGCCUGCGAUCCGUAGCCGGCCUGAGAGGGCGGUCGGCCACACUGACACUGACAUACGGGUCAGACUCCUACGGGAGGCAGCAGUCGGGAAAUUUGGGCAAU